rnacentral:rRNA from 1 species
GAGGAAAGAGAGAGGAAGGAGGAACACAUGAAAGUCGAGGGGUAUUUAUCUUCGGAUAGAGAGAAAGGAGAAAGGGUGAGUAAAGAGUAUGAAAUCUAAAUUUUAUAGAGGGAUAGCAAAGAGAAAUUUGGAUUAAUACCUCAUAGUAUAUAGACUCGGCAUCGAGAUUAUAUUAAAGUCACAACGGUAAAAGAUGAGCAUGCGUCCCAUUAGCUAGUUGGUAAGGUAACGGCUUACCAAGGCUACGAUGGGUAGGGGUCCUGAGAGGGAGAUCCCCCACACUGGUACUGAGACACGGACCAGACUCCUACGGGAGGCAGCAGUGAGGAAUAUUGGACAAUGGGCGCAAGCCUGAUCCAGCCAUGCCGCGUGCAGGAUGACGGUCCUAUGGAUUGUAAACUUCUUUUAUACGAGAAGAAACACUGCUACGUGUAGCAGCUUGACGGUAUCGUAAGAAUAAGGAUCGGCUCCCUCCGUU